GAAUCCCGUAUAUGGCAUGGACUCCCGUUGCUCUGUGAUACACUCUCGACGAGUCGAGUUGUUUGGGAAUGCAGCUCUAAAUGGGUGGUAAAUGCCAUCUAAAGCUAAAUAUUGGCGAGAGACCGAUAGCGAACAAGUACCGUGAGGGAAAGAUGAAAAGCACUUUGGAAAGAGAGUGAAACAGUACGUGAAAUUGUUGAAAGGGAAACGCCUGAAGUCAGUCGCGCCGUUCGGGAUUCAGCCUUGCUUCUGCUCGGUUUACUUCCCGUUGGGUGGGUCAACAUCAGUUUCGGUCGGAGGAGAAAGACUUGGGGAAGGUAGCAGCAUUCGUGCUGUGUUGUAGCCCCUUGUUGUAUACUUCGAUUGGGACUGAGGACCGCAGCACGCCUUUGGCCGGGGUUCGCCCACGUACGUGCUUAGGAUGUUGGCAUAAUGGCUUUAAGCGACCCGUCUUGAAACACGGACCAAGGAGUCUAACAUGUGCGCGAGUGUUUGGGUGUUAAACUCGGACGCGAAAUGAAAGUGAAAGGUUGGGAACACUUAUGUGUGCACCAACGCCCGGAGCUGACCUUCUGUGACGCAUCUGCGGUAGAGCGUAUAUGUUGGGACCCGAAAGAUGGUGAACUAUGCCUGAAUAGGGUGAAGCCAGAGGAAACUCUGGUGGAGGCUCGUAGCGAUUCUGACGUGCAAAUCGAUCGUCAAAUUUGAGUAUAGGGGCGAAAGACUAAUCGAACCAUCUAGUAGCUGGUUCCUGCC
rnacentral:rRNA from 1 species